rnacentral:sRNA from 1 species
AACCACCGUCGCCCCUGCGAAGGCGGGGGCCGCUAUCGACACGGCGUAAAGUUGCUUGCGGCCCCCGCCUUCGCGGGGGCGACGAGCUAU